CUGCAAGGAAUUCAGAGCAGAUGCCUGCCUAAACACAACAAAGGCUUCAAGUUCUGUGACUCGCCAUGAUAAAAUAGCACAACGAACUCAGGACAAGAAGAAUCAGGCUCUGCAGGUGUAAAAGCUCCAUCUCCAAAGCAGCUCCACAGUGUGUGAAGUAACCUUGCUCUGUGUGCCUGCUUUGUUGCCUCUGUGCUGUGGGAGAAAACUUCGGAGCCAGCUCUGCUGUUACAGCCCCAGGUUUGGAUCUGCCCGUGCUACAUUCUAGACAUGCAACAGUCCCUUGUACAAGUGCCUUGAAGAUGAAAGCAUAAAUAGGAAGACUACAAUGAGAUUGUGCCUGUGAGCUGUUAUACAAAGCUUCAAAUCAUCAAUGAAAUGUGAAGAGUGAGCACAAGGACAGGUGUGGCAGCUGGCUGGCAUAAAAAAAAAGUAAGUUUCAUUUCUUUGACAUAUUUGAAGCACGAGAAGAUGGAAGUGUCUGUGAUCAAUAUCAUAGCCUUUUCAAAGACAGU